rnacentral:rRNA from 1 species
AGGAAUAUUGGUCAAUGGGCGAUGGCCUGAACCAGCCAAGUAGCGUGAAGGAUGACUGCCCUAUGGGUUGUAAACUUCUUUUAUAAAGGAAUAAAGUCGGGUAUGCAUACCCGUUUGCAUGUACUUUAUGAAUAAGGAUCGGCUAACUCCGUGCCAGCAGCCGCGGUAAUACGGAGGAUCCGAGCGUUAUCCGGAUUUAUUGGGUUUAAAGGGAGCGUAGAUGGAUGUUUAAGUCAGUUGUGAAAGUUUGCGGCUCAACCGUAAAAUUGCAGUUGAUACUGGAUGUCUUGAGUGCAGUUGAGGCAGGCGGAAUUCGUGGUGUAGCGGUGAAAUGCUUAGAUAUCACGAAGAACUCCGAUUGCGAAGGCAGCCUGCUAAGCUGCAACUGACAUUGAGGCUCGAAAGUGUGGGUAUCAAACAGGAUUAGAUACCCUGGUAGUCCACACAGUAAACGAUGAAUACUCGCUGUUGGCGAUAUACGGUCAGCGGCCAAGCGAAAGCAUUAAGUAUUCCACCUGGGGAGUACGCCGGCAACGGUGAAACUCAAAGGAAUUGACGGGGGCCCGCACAAGCGGAGGAACAUGUGGUUUAAUUCGAUGAUACGCGAGGAACCUUACCCGGGCUUAAAUUGCAACUGACUGAACCGGAAACGGUUCUUUCUUCGGACAGUUGUGAAGGUGCUGCAUGGUUGUCGUCAGCUCGUGCCGUGAGGUGUCGGCUUAAGUGCCAUAACGAGCGCAACCCUUAUCGAUAGUUACUAGCAGGUCAUGCUGAGGACUCUAUUGAGACUGCCGUCGUAAGAUGUGAGGAAGGUGGGGAUGACGUCAAAUCAGCACGGCCCUUACGUCCGGGGCUACACACGUGUUACAAUGGGGGGUACAGAAGGCAGCUACACGGCGACGUGGUGCUAAUCCCGAAAGCCUCUCUCAGUUCGGAUUGGAGUCUGCAACCCGACUCCAUGAAGCUGGAUUCGCUAGUAAUCGCGCAUCAGCCACGGCGCGGUGAAUACGUUCCCG